GAGUCUCUCAGGUCCUGGCUGGUCCCUCGAAACACCAGGAUCUUUGCGGCGUCGUGUCAUGCACGACGCCUUUUUUC
rnacentral:ncRNA from 1 species